rnacentral:tRNA from 1 species
GAGGGUAUAGCUCAGUGAUGGAGUGCAUGCUUAGCAUGCAUGAGGUCCUGGGUUCAAUCCCCAGGACUGCCA